CUCCCUAACCUCAUUUAAAGGCUGGCAACCAGAACAGAAGCAUCUCUACUUGGAGAUUGCCUCCUUGGGAGUUUCUAACAAAUCCUGAUCCUUAGCAAGGGGAUCUGACUGCCAACUUAAGAACUUGAAAACAACAGAACAACCGGUCCUUUAGAUCUAUUAUGAGGAAAAUCCAAGUUUGGAUCCUGGAAAGUAGCUGGACCCUGCUCCUUAUGUUAUGAAGGCAUCUUCUGCAGAGUCUGCAUUGCUUGAUUUAUACACAAUCAUUUGAAGGGCCUCCACACUUCUAUCUGUCAUCCCAGGAUGAGGUGUGGACAAUCCAUUCUCUCAGUGGGAAAUUGAAGAUAAACAUCUUUUGCACACAGAGAUUGCUAAAAUGCUAUACAAAUAUGUGACGGGCUACACAUUACUGAUACUACAGUAAAAGCUUGAAGAAUUAGAACCUCCCGUCUCUUGAUUUUUGGGAGUGAAGAAUGAAAACCUGAAGUAAGGAGAAUAAUCAGAUUCUUUCAGUUCCUGCCUCUAUCAGUUGCUAUUCUGUGCCUCUUCUCUCCCUGCAGUGUGACACAGGCCUUGAGAAGUGAAGAUAAGUUUUUUCCUUGUGUGAGAUUCCAUGUGCAUACAGGAGGGAGGAGUCCCGGUCUACAGAUGAUAGGAUAUGAGAAGAUAAGAAAGCAGUGGAAAAAGGUUCCAGCUGAGUCUUAUACCUUUGAUAUAGAGUGUGAAUUUGAAAAAGAAGAAAAAAUAAAAAAUAAAGAAAAAAAGGAAGAGGCAAAACUAUUCAGAUGCAGGAGAUCACAGCAUAUUGCUUCUUCUUACACGGCUCUUUCGAAAGGUUAAUCAUCAAACUUUAGUUUGGGACUAUAUAAUGUACUUCCCAACUCCGCCCACUGUACCAUGAGAUCAACAAGAUUAGAUAUCUCUGUAACCUAAGCUAAGAACAACUGGCCUGCAAGAUUAAGACUGGCUAUCAUACUGUGGCUCUGUAACCCUCUGCUGGACUAAACCUGAAGUUUGCUGUACAUGGCUUGUGUCGACAUCAGAAGACAAAGAAGAAAGCAAGCCACUGCUUCUGCUGACAGCACAGGAAAGGAUCCUUGCUGCAUCCGCUGCCGACUGAAGUGGCAACUCAAUUACCCCUGCUAGUGGUGAGGAUGCUCCCAGCUGCUCUGAGUCUCCUUGACUGCAUAAAAUUCGUGAUGUACCUGAAGAGGAAUAUAUGGUGGUUGCUGUGUUCACAUCUGCUUCCGUUAGGGAUGAGCAGCUGGAUUCGGUCAAGGAACCCUUGACGGUCACGGGAGCAAUGCUUGGAUGGCUAUGUAACACAUAGUGGAUGUGAAUCGCUACAGUAAAAGCAAUUAAAAAAUAGAAGUAAACAGUAAAAAGAAAAACAAUGAACAUCGUGGAAUCGGAUCUGUGUCCAUGAUGUCAUGCAGCCAGAGGGAACAAGAAGAGUCUACUAAGUUAGAAGACUAAAUAUUCAGAAAUAUUCUGAUGGAUGGAUGAACUACUGCUGCUGGAGGAGUUAAGAGGACAAUCUCUGGGCUGGGAAUGACUGAAAAACUGCCAGAGAGAUGUGAAGGUAAGCAGUAAGACUUGGACACUGAAAAAACCCAGUAGCAUUCAUGUUUUUAAUGAGAUUCUGGCGGAGGUCCUAAGAAGCAGACAAGGGUCCAAGUUUCUGCAUGAAGGUUUAUAGAAAAUUUUUUUUUUUGCAGUAUUUGUCAUCGUUGUUGAAUUAACAAAAACCUUUUUGUUGUAUACUGAUGUUUUGUGUGUAAACAUGAGUACUGUCAGCAUUUCCUAUUUUAUUAACUUGAACACAAACAGUGGAUGUGUUGGUGUCUUUCAGGCAAUCUAAAUAGUUCUGUUUUGUCCCAAUGUGCAAAAGGUAAAAUAAAGUAUUGAAUUCUUUUUUUGUGGUACCAUAGCUUGAAAAGUCUAGGAGUACUGUUGAAGACUUCUUUUUAAAAGAAAGUCAAUUUGUGGGCAAAUUCCUAUAGUCUGUUGUUGAACUAUUCUUUGCACAAAUGAGAAAGAGGUGAUUUGUUAGAAGGUUUUGAAAGUAGGGUUUAAAAGAAAAAUAAAAAAAUCCAAGAAAAAACUGAAGAAAGCACCAGAGGCUUCUGGUAAAAAUUCCAUGUAUGCAGAUAAGGGUUUCUAAGACAUCGGGUCUUUAUCUGCAGUCAACUAGAGUCCUAUAGGACUUGGAGGCGAAUGGUAUCAGGUGCUUUAUGAAUCCUUGUGUGGAUAAUGUAUGUCUGAGAUGAUAACAGGAUGUAACUGCGUUAAGUUAAAUGACUUGUGUAGAGAGGAGUGGGAUUGUGAGAAAUGUAAUUGUGCUUUCGUGGAAUUAAACUGUUCAUCCCUCAAAACAUAGUUCUUUCUAUUCCUGAGGAAAAAAAAUUAGUCUUCCUCUUCAUUAGGUACACUGUGCGCUUGAUCAAGAAGUAGGGUACCGGAUAUGAAAUGUACUUCAGAAAUAGCUCUGAAUCAGGAAAGGACAAUGAGAAGGAAAUGAAAGUACUUGUUCUCAUGAUUUCCCAGGAAUGGAAAGAAUAUUACAGGAUUUCCUUCCAAACAACUGAAAACAGAGUGCCAAGAGGAAAGAUUUGAGAUAAUGGAACAUUGGCCUGAGUGGAGAUAAUUUUGGUCAUGCAAUUGGUAUGGUUUCAAAAAGACAGCUUGUCACAGAAGAAGAAAUUUUACCUCGGAUUACAAAGUUUCCAAUGUUGGAAUUAAAAUCAGUCACAACAUUGCCAGCCCUACAUGGUUCUGCAUGAGCUUGAAACAUAACCUACUGUAAGAAAAAAAAGAAAUAGGAAAAAAAAAAAACCAUGGGCCUUGGAUUGCAUGAAGCGGUUGUCUUACUGUAGCUUGGUAAUUUUCAGUAGAGUAAACUAGCUCCUAAAACAUGCUGAAAUAGACGCAAGGAUUUUGUGUAAGAUGCAGCUCCAUAGAACCAUGCUGGGCUGUGCAGAGACAUCUAUGUGAAAAACCGACAGCAGGAGAAUGUGUGCCUCCAACUUGGUCUCACAAAAGCUACCUGACACUAAACCUUGCCAAUAAGAUUGAAGACUAAAUGGUGGAUUAACAUGAGCAUGGGUGUAAAAAGGAUAAUCUAACAGGUAUCGUCACAGAAGAAAAGUACAUGAUGCAAUGGACAACAGUGUUGGAUGGCAGAGAAGAGCUCUGAAGAAAAAAGAAACUGAAUAAAAGGAAAAAAAAAAGAUGGUACUGGUGUUGAACUCCAUCGGAUCCCCUCCCGUCCCCUCCAUCCCAUCCAACUCAUCUAUCACAUCUCAUCCCAUCCCAUCUAUCCCAUCCCAUCUAUCCCAUC